rnacentral:lncRNA from 1 species
AAACUAAUAUUUCUCACAUUUGACAAACUUUCCUAUAGUCUCUUUCUAAUAAAUAUAAAAUAACUAUGUUGAGUUAUCAUAACGAUAAGGUUGGACCAGCCCUACAUAUCCUAAUUUCUCAUUAUGCUUGCUACUGGUAAGAUAGAGCAAGUGCGGCUCCUGCAAUGUUUCCUGCACAGGUGCAUGCACUAGCUAGAACCACUGCAGUAAUGGGUUUGAUUUUGAGGCAGCCAUUUCCACAGGAGAGUCUCCUGGAGAUCAGUUUGCAGGACUCAUCAGCUUCUUUGUAAAGUGAACAAUUGGUCCCUCCUUCAGUGAUAGCUUUUUCAUUUUACAAAAACAUCGCAUCGCAAGUCAGGUCAGAGAUGGAAAUACAACCGUGCAAAGGGUGAAAUUGGUUAUAGCUUAGAAGAGUAAAGGGAUGAUGAGGUACCUUUAGCCUGAAGCUAUUUAUAGCUCGAUUGACAGU